UGCCCACCAGCUAGCCUCACCCAAUCCCCAGAAAACAACUGACCUACUUAGAUAACCCCAAAUACCCUAAUAACAAAAUACAAUAAACCAUUCUUCCUCCUUAGUACGGGCGACGGAAAAGGACCCAAACGAGAGCAAUAGAAAAAGUACCGUAAGGGAACGCUGAAAGAGAGAUGAAACAGCCCAGUACAGCCCAAAAAAGCAGAGAUUCAUCCUCGUACCUUUUGCAUCAUGAUUUAGCCAGAACCCUUAAGCAAAGAGAACUUUAGUUUAAAUCCCCGAAACGAGGUGAGCUACUCCAAGACAGCCUGUUUAUCAGGGCGAACCCGUCUCUGUGGCAAAAGAGUGGGAAGAGCUUAGAGUAGAGGUGACAAGCCAAUCGAACCCCGUCAUAGCUGGUUGCCUGAGAAUUGGAUAUAAGUUCAGCCUCCCGGGUUCUACCUUCAUAACCAAGAUUUUGUCGCGGGAUACCUAGAAACCGAGAGAGUUAGUCAAAGGAGGGACAGCCCCUUUGAAACAGGACACAACCUUAUCAGGAGGGUAAAGAUUACAUUGACUAAAGGAAAAAUAUUUUGGUAGGCCUUAAAGCAGCCACCCAAACAGAAAGCGUUCAAGCUCAGAUAUAAACACCCCCCUCUUAUUCUAAUAAGUUAAUCUAAACCCCCUAAAUGUACCAGGCCAUCCUAUACCCCUAUAGGAGUGAUUAUGCUAGAAUGAGUAAUAAGAAGACCCAGAUCUUCUCCUCGCACACGUAUAACUCGGAAUGGACAAACCACCGAAUAUUAACGAUCCCAAAUAAAACAGAGGGGCCUGGAAAACUAAACAAAAUAAACAAGAAAACCUUCCAUCACUUAUGUUCGUUAACCCUACACCGGCGUGCUAACAAGGAAAGACUAAAAGAAAGAGAAGGAACUCGGCAAAUACUAACCAAGCCUCGCCUGUUUACCAAAAACACCGCCUCCUGCAAACAAAGAAUAGGAGGUCCCACCUGCCCAGUGACUUUUGUUCAACGGCCGCGGUAUGUUGACCGUGCAAAGGUAGCGUAAUCACUUGUCUUUUAAAUGAGGACCUGUAUGAAAGGUACCACGAGGGCUUAACUGUCUCCUCUCUCAAGUCAAUGAAAUUGAUCUCCCCGUGCAGAAGCGGGGAUAAAACUACAAGACGAGAAGACCCUGUGGAGCUUGAGACGCCUAGGCAGACAACGUCAAUCCCCUCUGAACAAAGACCCAAACCAGUUGGUACCUGCCUUAAUGUCUUCGGUUGGGGCGACCCUGGGGUAACAAAAAACCCCCACAUGGAAUGGGAGCACCAAGCCCACUUUCCACCCAACUCCCACAACUAAGGGCCAUGGCCCUAAUUAACAGAACUUCUGACCAAACUCGAUCCGGCAAGUCCGAUUAAUAAAACGAGUUACCCCAGGGAUAACAGCGCAAUCCCCUUUCAGAGCCCAUAUCGACAAGGGGGUUUACGACCUCGAUGUUGGAUCAGGACAUCCCAGUGGUGCAGCCGCUACUAAGGGUUCGUUUGUUCAACGAUUAAUAGUCCUACGUGAUCUGAGUUCAAACCGGAGCAAUCCAGGUUGGUUUCUAUCUGUAACAUCAUCUUUUCUAGUACGAAAGGACCAAAAAGAAUGAGGCCCCUGCUACAAGUACGCCUCACCCCAACUCGGUGAAACCAUCUCAACCGAAUAAAGGGGGAUAAUCCCUCCGCCAGAGAUAAUGGCAU
rnacentral:rRNA from 1 species